UAGGGAAUCUUCGGCAAUGGACGAAAGUCUGACCGAGCAACGCCGCGUGAGUGAAGAAGGUUUUCGGAUCGUAAAACUCUGUUGUUAGAGAAGAACAAGGACGUUAGUAACUGAACGUCCCCUGACGGUAUCUAACCAGAAAGCCACGGCUAACUACGUGCCAGCAGCCGCGGUAAUACGUAGGUGGCAAGCGUUGUCCGGAUUUAUUGGGCGUAAAGCGAGCGCAGGCGGUUUCUUAAGUCUGAUGUGAAAGCCCCCGGCUCAACCGGGGAGGGUCAUGGGAAACUGGGGGACUUGAGUGCAGAAGAGGAGAGUGGAAUUCCAUGUGUAGCGGUGAAAUGCGUAGAUAUAUGGAGGAACACCAGUGGCGAAGGCGGCUCUCUGGUCUGUAACUGACGCUGAGGCUCGAAAGCGUGGGGAGCAAACAGG
rnacentral:rRNA from 1 species